GUGGUAAAUGUACAUUAUUUAACAUUUUUAUUGCACUUUUUAAUUAAUAACACAAAAGUAAGAUUUUCAGUUACUAAAAAAAAAUUUGCAAAUAUUAUAUAUUGAAACAAAAACAUAUUUUAUAGUGACACAUUUUUAAAAGUGGAUUAUGUACGAAUAGUAUACAUACAGUUGACCCGAAAAUGAGCAAUUACAUAAAACCCAACACUAUUUUUUUUUUAUAAUGACUAUAAUGAUGCUAAUGAAUAUAAGAACAGUAACCUAAAUUUUGCUCAUGUCAAAAUAUAAGAAAUGUACUUUCUAAAAUUGUUGUCCUUUCACUUUACCAUUUAUGCUUUUUAUCAAAAUUAUUAUUA